rnacentral:rRNA from 1 species
AAUCUUCCGCAAUGGACGAAAGUCUGACGGACCAACGCCGCGUGAGUGAUGAAGGUCUUCGGUUCGUAAAACUCUGUAGUUAGGGAAGAACAAGUAUGGUUAGUAUAGGGCGGUUCUUUGAUGGCCCCUAACAAAAACGCCACGGCCAUCUACGUGCCAGCCGCCGCGGUAAUAAGUAGGUGGAAAGCGUUAUCCGGAAUUAUUGGGCGUAAAGCGCGCGCAGGCGGUUGUUUAAGUCGGAUGUGAAAGCCCCCGGCUCAACCGGGGAGGGUCAUUGGAAACUGGGGAGCUUGAGUGCAGAAGAGGAGAGUGGAAUUCCAUGUGUAGCGGUGAAAUGCGUAGAGAUAUGGAGGAACACCAGUGGCGAAGGCGACUCUCUGGUCUGCAACUGACGCUGAGGCGCGAAAGCGUGGGGAGCGAACA